rnacentral:rRNA from 1 species
CGAGUGAGCGGCAAGAGCUCAAAUUUGAAGCUGGCUCCUUCGGGGUCCGCAUGUGUAAUUUGCAGAGGAUGCUUCGGGCGUGGCCCCCGUCUAAGUGCCCUGGAACGGGCCGUCAUAGAGGGUGAGAAUCCCGUCUGGGACGGGGUGUCCGUGUCCGUGUGAAGCUCCCUCGACGAGUCGAGUUGUUUG